rfam:Pichia kudriavzevii strain SD108 scaffold00057, whole genome shotgun sequence.
GCGAAUUUAAGUCAAUUGGCUAGACAAUCUGUCUUCCACACAGAAAAUGAGGGUUCGAAUCCCUCAAUUCGUA